rnacentral:lncRNA from 1 species
GUUCAAUGAUUUUUUUACAGCAUUGUGUAGUCUAUGCAAGAAUUGUUUGGUGUAUCUGUGGUUGCACAAGAACUAUUUAAGAGAGGACCGUCCUGCGCGGUUUAUAAAGAAGUGAGCCCCGUAUAUGAAAUCCCAGUAGUGGAAGAUGUACUGUCCGUUUUAUGUGAAGACGGCCUAGAGAAGAAUAAAUAUAGAUGGAAGUACGUCGGAGAGACGAAAGCCCGAAGAGAGAAACUACAAGAAACGAUGCAGAGUGGUAAGUUUAAUACGCUUCUAAAGUAGACUGAAAAUUGGUUAAAAGCGAACGAUUUCAUGAUUACAAGAGAAGACAAAACGAAGAAGAUGGUU